GCCCCCGUAGUUUAAUGGAUAAAACGAGGGCUUCCGGAGCCUUCGAUGGAAGUUCAAUUCUUCCCGGGGGCA
rnacentral:tRNA from 1 species